GGUGUGACUGCGUACCUUUUGUAUAAUGGGUCAGCGACUUAUAUUCUGUAGCAAGGUUAACCGUAUAGGGGAGCCGCAGGGAAACCGAGUCUUAACUGGGCGUUAAGUUGCAGGGUAUAGACCCGAAACCCGGUGAUCUAGCCAUGGGCAGGUUGAAGGUUGGGUAACACUAACUGGAGGACCGAACCGACUAAUGUUGAAAAAUUAGCGGAUGACUUGUGGCUGGGGGUGAAAGGCCAAUCAAACCGGGAGAUAGCUGGUUCUCCCCGAAAGCUAUUUAGGUAGCGCCUCGUGAACUCAUCUUCGGGGGUAGAGCACUGUUUCGGCUAGGGGGUCAUCCCGACUUACCAACCCGAUGCAAACUACGAAUACCGAAGAAUGUUAUCACGGGAGACACACGGCGGGUGCUAACGUCCGUCGUGAAGAGGGAAACAACCCAGACCGCCAGCUAAGGUCCCAAAGUCACAGUUAAGUGGGAAACGAUGUGGGAAGGCACAGACAGCCAGGAUGUUGGCUUAGAAGCAGCCAUCAUUUAAAGAAAGCGUAAUAGCUCACUGGUCGAGUCGGCCUGCGCGGAAGAUGUAACGGGGCUAAACUGUGCACCGAAGCUGCGGCAGCGACACUAUGUGUUGUUGGGUAGGGGAGCGUUCUGUAAGCCUGCGAAGGUGGCCUGUGAGGGUUGCUGGAGGUAUCAGAAGUGCGAAUGCUGACAUAAGUAACGAUAAUGCGGGUGAAAAGCCCGCACGCCGGAAGACCAAGGGUUCCUGUCCAACGUUAAUCGGGGCAGGGUGAGUCGACCCCUAAGGCGAGGCCGAAAGGCGUAGUCGAUGGGAAACAGGUUAAUAUUCCUGUACUUGGUGUUACUGCGAAGGGGGGACGGAGAAGGCUAUGUUAGCCGGGCGACGGUUGUCCCGGUUUAAGCAUGUAGGCGGAGGUUCCAGGUAAAUCCGGUACCUU
rnacentral:rRNA from 1 species